GUAGGUGGCAAGCGUUGUCCGGAUUUACUGGGCGUAAAGAGCGCGCAGGCGGUCGUUCAAGUCGCGUGUGAAAGCCCCCGGCUCAACUGGGGAGGGUCACGCGAUACUGAUCGACUCGAAGGCAGGAGAGGGAAGUGGAAUUCCCGGUGUAGUGGUGAAAUGCGUAGAUAUCGGGAGGAACACCAGUGGCGAAGGCGACUUCCUGGCCUGUUCUUGACGCUGAGGCGCGAAAGCUAGGGGAGCAAACGGGAUUAGAUACCCCGGUAGUCCUAGCCGUAAACGAUGGACACUAGGUGUUGGUGGUAUCAACCCCGCCAGUGCCGAAGCUAACGCAUUAAGUGUCCCGCCUGGGGAGUACGGCCGCAAGGSUA
rnacentral:rRNA from 1 species